UGGCGGCGUGCCUAACACAUGCAAGUCGAACGAAGCAUACGGACCGGAGAUUCGUCGAAGGACCGUAUGACUUAGUGGCGGACGGGUGAGUAAUGUAUGAGCAACCUGCCUUUCAGAGGGGGACAACAGUUGGAAACGACUGCUAAUACCGCGUAACGUAUCGUGAGGGCAUCCUCGUGAUACCAAAGGAGCAAUCCGCUGAAAGAUGGGCUCAUAUCUGAUUAGCUUGUUGGCGGGGUAACGGCCCACCAAGGCGACGAUCAGUAGCCGGACUGAGAGGUUGAACGGCCACAUUGGGACUGAGAUACGGCCCAGACUCCUACGGGAGGCAGCAGUGGGGAAUAUUGGGCAAUGGGCGAAAGCCUCGACCCAGCAACGCCGCGUGAAGGAAGAAGGUCUUCGGAUUGUAAACUUCUUUAUGAGGGACGAAGGACGUGACGGUACCUCAUGAAUAAGCCACGGCUAACUACGUGCCAGCCGCAGC
rnacentral:rRNA from 1 species